rnacentral:tRNA from 1 species
GGACAGGUGGCCGAGUGGUCUAAGGCGCACGCCUGGAAAGUGUGUAUACGCCAAAAGCGUAUCGAGGGUUCGAAUCCCUCCCUGUCCGCCA